UACGUAGGGGGCGAGCGUUGUCCGGAAUCAUUGGGCGUAAAGCGCGUGUAGGCGGCCCGGUAAGUCCGCUGUGAAAGUCCAGGGCUCAACCCUGGGAUGCCGGUGGAUACUGUCGGGCUAGAGUGCGGAAGAGGCGAGUGGAAUUCCUGGUGUAGCGGUGAAAUGCGCAGAUAUCAGGAGGAACACCGAUUGCGAAGGCAGCUCGCUGGGACGUAACUGACGCUGAGACGCGAAAGCGUGGGGAGCAAACAGG
rnacentral:rRNA from 1 species